UACGUAGGGUGCGAGCGUUAAUCGGAAUUACUGGGCGUAAAGCGUGCGCAGGCGGUUCGUUGUGUCUGGGGUGAAAGCCCCGGGCUUAACCUGGGAAUGGCCAUGGAAACUGGCGAGCUGGAGUGUGGCAGAGGGGGGUGGAAUUCCGCGUGUAGCAGUGAAAUGCGUAGAGAUGCGGAGGAACACCGAUGGCGAAGGCAGCCCCCUGGGCUAACACUGACGCUCAGGCACGAAAGCGUGGGGAGCAAACAGG
rnacentral:rRNA from 1 species